AACGAACGCUAGCGGCGUGCUUAACACAUGCAAGUCGUACGAGAAAUCCUGGGCAACUGGGAGAGUAAAGUGGCGCACGGGUGAGUAACGCGUGGGUAAUCUACCUUGGAGUUGGGAAUAACACCUCGAAAGGGGUGCUAAUACCAAAUGUGGUCCCUGGAGUUUCGGCCCUGGGGAUGAAAGAUGGCUGAGGCUUGCAAGCUAUUGCUCCAAGAUGAGCCCACGUACCAUUAGCUUGUUGGUGGGGUAACGGCCUACCAAGGCGACGAUGGUUAGCUGGUCUGAGAGGAUGAUCAGCCACACUGGAACUGAAACACGGUCCAGACUCCUACGGGAGGCUG
rnacentral:rRNA from 1 species